rnacentral:rRNA from 1 species
AGUCGAGGGGAAACAUAGAGUGCUUGCACUCUGAUGACGACCGGCGCACGGGUGCGCAACGCGUAUAGAAUCUACCCUUUACUGGGGGAUAGCCCAGAGAAAUUUGGAUUAAUACCCCAUAGUAUACUAUUAUGGCAUCAUAAAAGUAUUAAAGGUUACGGUAAAGGAUGACUAUGCGUCCCAUUAGCUAGAUGGUAAGGUAACGGCUUACCAUGGCAACGAUGGGUAGGGGCCCUGAGAGGGGGAUCCCCCACACUGGUACUGAGACACGGACCAGACUCCUACGGGAGGCAGCAGUGAGGAAUAUUGGACAAUGGGCGAGAGCCUGAUCCAGCCAUGCCGCGUGCGGGAAGAAGGCCCUACGGGUCGUAAACCGCUUUUAUACGGGAAGAAACCCACCUACGUGUAGGUGGCUGACGGUACCGUAAGAAUAAGGACCGGCUAACUCCGUGCCAGCAGCCGCGGUAAUACGGAGGGUCCGAGCGUUAUCCGGAAUUAUUGGGUUUAAAGGGUCCGUAGGCGGGCCGUUAAGUCAGGGGUGAAAUACUACGGCUCAACCGUGGAACUGCCCUUGAUACUGACGGUCUUGAAUUAUAGUGAAGUUGCCGGAAUAUGUAGUGUAGCGGUGAAAUGCAUAGAUAUUACAUAGAACACCGAUUGCGAAGGCAGGUGACUAACUGUACAUUGACGCUGAUGGACGAAAGCGUGGGUAGCGAACGGGAUUAGAUACCCCGGUAGUCCACGCCGUAAACGAUGGAUACUAGCUGUCCGGGGCCUUGAGUCCUGGGCGGCCAAGCGAAAGUGAUAAGUAUCCCACCUGGGGAGUACGUUCGCAAGAAUGAAACUCAAAGGAAUUGACGGGGGCCCGCACAAGCGGUGGA